UCGAGAGUUCUGCCGACAAAUUUUCUACUGUAAUGAAAGGGGGCAAGAAUAGUAUUGAUUCCUGACCUAGACGCUGUAUUGUGACUUCAGGGCUUCUGUUGUGUAUCUGUUUCUGGUAGUGUAACGGUAUCCUCAUCAUUACAAUCAUCCUGUAAUCAGUCAUGUGGCUCUUGGCGCCAGCCUGACAAGGAUGGUGUGUCUGCCACCUCCACACUUAACAUAAUCAUCAAUUACAAUUUUAUAAGACAAAUCACGUUAACACAGGAUGCCGACACAUCAUUGUGCAUUCUCGCAGAGUCAUUACCUUCUAAGCUUCAAACAGUUUUAUUAAUGCGAUAGGCUCUAUACUGGGAGCAGAUACAGAAUUUGUACACCCACCGCCCCUGGCAAGAAAUGACCUUGGACACUAUUCUUAAGGGAGAAACAACCGGAUUCAAUUCCAUCUGCCAGACAGUACAUUGUUUUCAGCGAAAGACCUUCAACAGCACAUUUGUAGAAAGUUACUACAUUCUGAUACAGGACUGUCAAUCUAUA